rnacentral:rRNA from 1 species
AACGAACGCUGGCGGCAGGCUUAACACAUGCAAGUCGAACGCAUCCUUCGGGGUGAGUGGCAGACGGGUGAGUAACGCGUGGGAACGUGCCCUUCAGUUCGGGAUAACCCAGGGAAACUUGGGCUAAUACCGGAUACGUGCGAGAGCAGAAAGAUUUAUCGCUGAAGGAUCUGCCCGCGUCUGAUUAGCUAGUUGGUGGGGUAAUGGCCCACCAAGGCGACGAUCAGUAGCUGGUCUGAGAGGAUGAUCAGCCACAUUGGGACUGAGACACGGCCCAAACUCCUACGGGAGGCAGCAGUGGGAACUAUUGGACAAUGGGCGCAAGCCUGAUCCAGCCAUGCCGCGUGAGUGAUGAAGGCCUUAGGGUUGUAAAGCUCUUUCGUCCGGGACGAUAAUGACGGUACCGGAAGAAGAAGCCCCGGCUAACUUCGUGCCAGCCGCCGCAGUAA